rnacentral:rRNA from 1 species
CCUACGGGAGGCAGCAGUGGGGAAUAUUGCACAAUGGGGGAAACCCUGAUGCAGCGACGCCGCGUGAGUGAAGAAGUAUUUCGGUAUGUAAAGCUCUAUCAGCAGGGAAGAAAAUGACGGUACCGACUAAGAAGCCCCGGCGUACUACGGCCAGCAGCCGCGGUAAU